rnacentral:rRNA from 1 species
GAUGAACGCUGGCGGCGUGCUUAACACAUGCAAGUCGAACGAAGAUGCCGGAGUGCUUGCACUUUGGCAGACUGAGUGGCGGACGGGUGAGUAACGCGUGGGUAACCUGCCUUAUACAGGGGGAUAACAGUUGGAAACGACUGCUAAUACCGCAUAAGCGCACGGUAUCGCAUGAUACAGUGUGAAAAACUCCGGUGGUAUAAGAUGGACCCGCGUCUGAUUAGCUUGUUGGUGAGGUAACGGCCCACCAAGGCGACGAUCAGUAGCCGGCCUGAGAGGGUGAACGGCCACAUUGGGACUGAGACACGGCCCAAACUCCUACGGGAGGCAGCAGUGGGGAAUAUUGCACAAUGGGGGAAACCCUGAUGCAGCGACGCCGCGUGAGUGAUGAAGUAUUUCGGUAUGUAAAACUCUAUCAGCAGGGAAGAUAAUGACGGUACCUGACUAGAAGCACCGGCUAAAUACGUGCCAGCAGCCGCGGU